rnacentral:lncRNA from 1 species
UUCUACUUUUGAUUCAUAUUAUUGAUAUUCUUGGCUAUUUUCAAAGACCCUUUGUCAAGAGCAAUACAAUAUUAGUAAACUCUAAUGUCUCUAACUCAAUGAGCUGUGCAAGCAGCUUUGCAAAUCUUGAGAACAAUUCAUCCAUGAUAUUUUCACCAAACCCGUCUAUUAAAAGAGGUUCAAAAACAGCUCUGUGGUACUUGGCUAUAAGCUCCCCUCUCAUUUUGCUAUCAACAAUACCAUCAUUAUGGAGGUUUGCAUCCCAACCCAUUUUAAAAGUUUUCAUUACUUGAAGUGUAAAAGAUCCUUCUGCCUCAAUCACUUGUCUUACUUCCUCUACAGUAGGAUGGUAUGUUGGAAAAUUAAACAAGUCUAAUUUCUCCUCUUCAACUAAACCCUACAAAUUAUAAGGAAUCUUUAUAAAAUAUAAAAUAAAAUAAAAAAGGAAAAUCAAAAGUUAAAGAAAAACUAAAUAUUUAUUUUGUUAUGUAAAGUCUCCUAUAAUAAUGUUGUUCAAUAAUAACAAUCUACAUGAGUUUUACGCGGUAAUUAAGGAAAGGAAAAUGAUUAAUAGUGUUGAUUUUAACGGCAAAAUGUGUAUCAUUUUUUAAAACAUCCUUAUUAAUUAUAUAGUUAGUGGAAUAAUUUUAGAUAAUUAAAAUUGAAUAAAUAAGGGUAUGUAAGUGGAAAAAGUAUUAAAUAUUGUAUUGAUAUUAUAAAAGAGACAAAAACAAUUAGAAAAGAAGACAUAUAUUGUAAGACGAAGGAAGUAUUUAUCUGAAUCAACCAUAUUUUUAAAUGAGAUUAACUAAUUAUAUGGUAUUUUAUCAUAUCAAUAUAAAUUUAUAGAAGGUUUAAACUAUUGUAAAAGGAAAGUAGGGUAUCUAAAGUGUGUGUGAAAUGAUAGACAUAUGAUAUGAGGCCGAUAAGAUUUUUGUUUUGAAAUGUUUAAUUUUUUUUUUUUAAGCACUCUUUCUUAAUUACUUGCUAUCAAAGCUGAUAUUUACCUCUUGGACCAUCUCGUUGAGUACCAGGCCAAGUACCUCUUGAAUAGAAGUAAUUUCAUUUGAUGUUUCUCUGCCAAUGAAUGUUAGUACCAUCAUACCAUCUGAUACUAUUUCUUCGAAGCGUGACUUUAGAAAACACUUGAAAUCUCUUGCAAAUUGCACAAAAUAUGCUUCAUAGACCGAUGGAGGACUUGUUCUUGAUAUGUAAAUAUUUCCCUUGUUGAGUGGUUUUGCAUUAUUGGCCAAAUCUUUGGGUGCCUAAUGCCAAAAAAGAUGAACUUCAAAUAUAA